UAAGUAAGGUGUGAAAUAGUACGGCUCAACCGUAUAAACAUACUUUAAACUGAUGAGCUAGAGGAUGAGAGAGGUUAUUGGAAUUUCUUGUGUAGGAGUGAAAUCCGUAGAUAUAAGAAGGAACACCGAUGGCGUAGGCAGAUAACUGGCUCAUUCCUGACGCUCAGACACGAAAGCGUGGGUAGCAAACGGGAUUAGAUACCCCGGUAGUCCACGCUGUAAACGAUGGAUGCUA
rnacentral:rRNA from 1 species